rnacentral:snRNA from 1 species
AUCGCUUUUCGGCCUUUUGGCAAAGAUCAAGUGUAGUAUCUGUUCUUAUCAGUAUCUUAUAUGUCCCCUAUCCGGGGACCAUAUAUUAAAUUGCUUUUUGGAAUAGGGAGAUGGAACAAGGGCUUGCUCUGUCCACUCUACGCAUCAGCCUAGUAUUGCAGCCCUUCUAGGAUUGGUGCACUUCAC